rnacentral:rRNA from 1 species
UACAGAGGGUGCGAGCGUUGUCCGGAAUCACUGGGCGUAAAGGGCGCGUAGGCGGCUUGAUAAGCGUGCGGUGAAAGCCCGGGGCUCAACCCCGGGUCGGCCGUGCGGACUGGCGGGCUCGAGCACUGUAGGGGCGGGUGGAAUUCCUGGUGUAGCGGUGAAAUGCGCAGAUAUCAGGAGGAACACCGGUGGCGAAGGCGGGUCUCUGGGCCGUAACUGACGCUGAGGAGCGAAAGCGUGGGGAGCGAACAGG